rnacentral:tRNA from 1 species
GUCCUCGUAGCUCAGUUGGCUAGAGCGUUGGCUGUACUAAAGCCUUCCCCUUGCUGGCGUGCGUUCGAAUCCCACUGAGGCCG